rnacentral:rRNA from 1 species
CAGAACGACGCUGGCGGCGCGUCUUAAGCAUGCAAGUCGAACGGCAAGAGGUAGCAAUACCUCCUAGAGUGGCGGACUGGUGAGUAACACGUGGGUGACAUACCCUUCAGAUGGGGGAUAGCUAUUAGAAAUAGUAGAUAAUACCGAAUACGAGCACAGGGGUUAGAGAUCUGUGAGGAAAGGAGCUAAGGCUCCGCUGAAGGAAUGGCCUGCGGCCCAUUAGCUAGUUGGUGAGGUAAGAGCCCACCAAGGCGAUGAUGGGUAUCCGGCCUUAGAGGGUGAACGGACACAUUGGGACUGAGAUACGGCCCAGACUCCUACGGGAGGCAGCAGCUAAGAAUAUUCCGCAAUGGACGAAAGUCUGACGGAGCGACGCCGCGUGGAUGAAGAAGGCCGGAAGGUUGUAAAAUCCUUUUGAAACUGAAGAAUAAGCGUUGUAGGGAAUGACAGCGUGGUGACAGUAGGUUUUGAAUAAGCAACGGCUAAUUACGUGCCAGCAGCCGC